rnacentral:rRNA from 1 species
GUGAGGAAUCUUCCACAAUGGGCGAAAGCCUGAUGGAGCAACGCCGCGUGAAGGAUGAAGGUCUUCGGAUUGUAAACUUCUUUUAUGAGUGAAGAAUAUGACGGUAACUCAUGAAUAAGCACCGGCUAACUACGUGCCAGCAGCCGCGGUCAUACGUAGGGUGCAAGCAUUAUCCGGAGUGACUGGGCGUAAAGAGUUGCGUAGGCGGUUAUGUAAGCGAAUAGUGAAACCUGGUGGCUCAACCACACAGACUAUUAUUCGAACUGCAUAACUCGAGAAUGGUAGAGGUAACUGGAAUUUCUUGUGUAGGAGUGAAAUCCGUAGAUAUAAGAAGGAACACCAAUGGCGUAGGCAGGUUACUGGGCCAUUUCUGACGCUAAGGCACGAAAGCGUGGGGAGCGAACCGGAUUAGAAACCCUGGUAGUCC